GGCAGGGGUUUGUAUCCAGGCUUUCGGUUCUUCGGGAGAUUCCCGGAGGCAGACUUAGAUAUAAGGAACCGUUACGGAGAAGCAUAGUGAGCAAUCCAUAAUGAUACAGCCC
rnacentral:sRNA from 1 species